UACGUAGGGUGCGAGCGUUGUCCGGAAUUAUUGGGCGUAAAGAGCUCGUAGGCGGUGUGUCGCGUCGGCCGUGAAAACCUGCAGCUUAACUGUGGGCUUGCGGUCGAUACGGGCAUCACUGGAGUUCGGCAGGGGAGACUGGAAUUCCAGGUGUAGCGGUGAAAUGCGUAGAUAUCUGGAGGAACACCGGUGGCGAAGGCGGCUUCCUGGCCUGUUCUUGACGCUGAGGCGCGAAAGCUAGGGUAGCAAACGGG
rnacentral:rRNA from 1 species